rnacentral:lncRNA from 1 species
AGUAUUUUCGUGAUUUGGAGAUGGUUUAUGAGUUUAAUGUUGCCCCUGUUCAUAAGGUGAAUCAACUGAUUGGUUGUCAUACAUUGCUUCAGGUAAAAUAAAUACAUGGUUCUUUAUAUAACUUUAAAGAUGAAAUAGACUAUGUUGUUUACUAAUUAUUAUAUAUUGAUUAUGGCAUAAACAUUUCAACACUUUUGGGGUGUUGGAGCCAAGGAUUUUGAGGAAGGAUACAUGGAGAAUCGACACCCGCGUGCUAACAUGUUUACAUCUCUUAAGGGUCUCAUUGUCACAAACCUUUACCGAGAGGACUUGGACCGGUUGUUAGUGAAUGAUUGCGUCUUUUAACCAUAUGUCGCUCGCUAAAACGCACAUUCAUUCUAGAACAUCAGCGUCUACUCUGGUAGGAUCAGAUAUUAACCUCGCAUGGUGGGGUAUUAUUUAGAGUGCAUGUUGCAAAAGUCUGGAUUUUUCAUGCCAUUCCUAGACAUACAAUUGUCUCUGCUUAACCCCUGGAGAUUGGACCAUAUGUUUUUUUUUAUGCCUAUGCUAAUUUUCUUGACUAUGUGUUGGCCGCAAAGAACCUAGGAGAUCUUGCAUUUUAUGGGUGGAAUACAACAAUGUGUUACAUAAGGUAGUAGCCCAGGAUAUCACAUUUGUAUGUGCUGCCCACACCUUCGAGAAACCCUCCUCGACCAGCUAAACAUGAGACACAAGUCGAAGAGGCGGGGAACUCGGUUGCAUACUUAGUCGAAUGGACAUGCCAAAUCUGGAUGUUAGUAAUUAUAUUUCUGAUGAUGCUUCGUCAUAUGAUAUUUUUAGUUGUGUUUUGGAGUCUUUUUCUAUUCAU